UACGUAGGGAGCAAGCGUUGUCCGGAAUCAUUGGGCGUAAAGCGCGCGUAGGUGGCCACAUAAGUCCGUUGUGAAAGUCAAAGGCUCAACCUUUGAAAGCCGAUGGAUACUGUGUGGCUAGAGUACGGAAGAGGCGAGUGGAAUUCCUGGUGUAGCGGUGGAAUGCGCAGAUAUCAGGAGGAACACCAAUAGCGAAGGCAGCUCGCUGGGACGUUACUGACACUGAGGCGCGAAAGCGUGGGGAGCGAACAUG
rnacentral:rRNA from 1 species